rnacentral:lncRNA from 1 species
CCCUCAAAAGAUAAAUAGGACUAGCAAGCCAAAAGAUAUUAUAUGACUAGGCCGUUGGAGCCACAAUGUCUACGGUACGAUACAUGACCAUACUAUACUUUACGUAGUCUACAAAGCCUCUAGACAAGAAACGUUAUCUUAUAAGGGUCGGGACAGGCCCCGCCUCAUGAUAAGAUACUAUACAAUGCAAAAAGAUAUGAUAAGACUCAAAGCCCCGAAGCAACCUGGAGCUCAGUGACUGCGGUUGAUAUCCUGUACUCUUACUAGGGAGGUUUAUUAGCUUCUGUACCUGCAGCAUGGAAUGCAGGUCCCCCAAGAGGGACGUCAGUACGAAAUAAUGUACUGAAUAUGUAAGGCAACAUGUACUAUAUAUGAGAUAAAAACUCAAAUGAAACCAUGUACUGCUGUAGGGUAAAAGACCACCUUUAUGAAUAUUGUGGAGUCAUGUAUCUUAUAACAAUUAUGUUACUUUACUCUUAUUACUUGAAUAAUCUGUGCACAGCAUGUAAUACAAAUGACCAGCUGAUCAGUGGUAAUUCUAUAUCAGGAUCGACCCAUGCUAGGCUUUCCUUUCACCCCUGGGAUACCCCCUGUAAUACUGGGAUUGACCCAUGCUAGGUGAUUCUUUCACCCCUGGGAUACCACCCAACAGAAGCAACUGUAUACAUAUAUCUUCUUAUUACUUUUGAGAUGAAUCUUUGGUGGUCGUAACAUUUGAGCUAUAAGACUAUAAGCAUGACAAAUGACAAGUAUGUGUCCAUGUAACAUCAUAUCAUAAUGAAAAGAGUGGGUUGUACAAUUAGUGAAACAUGUAGGACAUAAACAACGUAUGAACUUUAUUUAGCUAAAAAGAAGACUCAUAUGUCAUGGUACCCAAUGUAUGUAUGCAGCAGUGACAAUGCUCGAAUCUGGACACACAAGUACAUGUUAAAGAGUGGAGUGGUUAUGUCAAAGUUUGUAAAGAUCUCUAUGUGCCAAUGAAGACUUUGGAUUCCAUGCCAAAUAAUAAGAGAUCGAAUAGCCUUACAUACCUCGACAUAUCAACUUGUUUUUACGUCGAAAUGACUUCUUUUCUUCCAACUAUUUAUCUACAAUAUCAUGUUUUAAAGCUAGUAUUAGCAGCUAAUCAAUGCAUCUGGACAGCCCAAUCUCACAAGACACAACACUUUGGCAACAAACGUAUAACCAUCAACUCAAUGGUGUUAUUCCGACUUUCUCUCAGUUGAAUUAACCUAUUCAUGUAGCCUUUAGUCCCUGAUAUCUGUUCUGUUUUUUACUAUAAUUUAGAUGUUCUUACGUCUUAUAUCUUAUAGUUCAUAUUAGGGUUCUGUCCUUUAGAGAAAUCCUGAUUUAUUCUGUCAUUAAUUACUAUAUAUAAUAAGAGGGAGCUAACAUGCCGAAGCAGGCAGCACGUCACUAUGUCUGCUUAUGCUGCCUGUUUCAACUGCUUCAACCAUAAUUUUACUAUAUCAGUUUUAAUUAAGUAUUAUAAGUCAUUUAUGUAUUACAAAAUUAAUAAUAUUUAAUUAAAAAAAAGUAAAAUAAAUAUUUAUAACAUGUAUGUUUCAGCUGCUUCAAUCAUAAUUUUACUAUGUCACCCUAAUUACUUAUUAUAAGUCAUCUAAGUAUUAAAAAUUAAUAAUAAUUAAUUAAAAAAAUAAAAUAGACUUAAAAUGAUAAAUUAACUCUUGAUGUUUUAACUAACAUGACAUCUUAUAUGAGGCUUACUUAAGUUUUUCCACAAAUAUUUUUUAUAGUAAUUUGAUUAUACCACUUUUAAUUAGUUAUUAUAAGUCAUUUGAGUAAAUACAUAAAGUAGCCACAAAAAUUGUCUCAAGUAAACACUUAAAAUUUACGGGCAUCUAUUACCCUGUUGAACAAUUUAAAAAUAAAAAAAUAUCUCUUUUUUUAGCCAAUAUCAGCUGCAAGAAAAGAAAUACAACCACACAUCAAUUAUUAUUUGCUAUGCUUUUCUUACUUUAUAUGUUUUUCUUUUCCUUUUUUUUUUGUUAGUCUUUCUCUCUCCUCUAUGAACUUUCAAUUACCCUCUAUAUUUUACCAUUGAUAAAUAUCCACCUUUGACGACCUCUUCUUAACCUCUCUCAUUUUAUUUUGUUUUGUCUUUUCCAAAUAGCUCUAAUCUUUUUAUUAUUAAUUAUUUUACUUUAUUUAAAUAGAUGCUUAAAUAAGGUGGGUUGAGAGAUACGAUUGAAUUUUUUUCUAUAUCGUUAUCAUUCUAAUCAUCUUCCUCAUUACAAUUACUGCUAAAUUAUCAUUGGAUUAUCAUCAAAUUAAAAUUUAAAAAUAAAAUAUAAUUAUGUUGAAUCAAAAUUUUUUUAAAAUUAAAUCUUAUAAUUUUUUUAACCAAAAAAUCAUAGUUUCAUAACAAAAAUUAAAAGAAAAACAGUAGAGUUUAGUAAUGGAUUGAAUAUAAACUUAAGGUGAAAGAACUUGAAAGCGAGGAGAAAGAAAGAAAGAAAAAAGAGAAGCAAAAAGAUAUUGAAAAAAUGAAAGAAAAUGGUGAAGAGUUGGAUGAAGAAGAUAAAAGAAAAAAUAAUAAAAUAGUAAACUAAAAUUAAUAAAUAUUUUUAGUCAAAUAAAUGUUGAUUUAAAAAAAAAAACUACUAUAUUUUUACUUGUUUCACACUUUAUCGAAGAGAAGUACACUUUCCAUAUCGAAUGGGGUCAAAAGAGGGUAUUUAUAAUAGUCUUUAUAAGUUUUGUUGGGUAAUAGGACACCACAAAUUUAAAGUGUCUUUUUUAAAAUAUGGGACAACUUUAGUGGUGUCUUUAUGUCUUGUCUCUAAGUCAUUUAAGACAUAUAUGCUUCGCUACUUCAAUCAUAAUUUUGUUGUAUCAUCUCUAAUUAAUUAUUAUGGUCAUUUAAGCAUUGUAUCACUUAAAUUGAAAUAGAAGGUAAAGUAUUUUAAAUCACUAUGAUAAAAAAUUUAAAUUAUUUAAAAAAUAUAAUUGACUAUCGAUGCAAUAAAAGUUUGGACCUGGAGAGUAACAUAUAUUAUUUAAAAUUACAUAAAAAGUAUAAUAAAUUACAAUAAUUAACAGUUUAAAAUAUCUUUAAAAAAAUAAAAUGUUAUAUAUUUUAAAAAAUACAUACAAAAUAUUAUAAAUUACAACAAUUAAUAACUUAAAAAAUUUAAAGGUCAACCUGACUGCUUUGGCACAACUACUUGGUCCUUUUCCUCGCCUUCAUUUUAAUUUAUUUGCCUUAUUUUCUUUAUUUGUUGUAUAUUUCAAAAGAAUACGAAAAAAAGUACUAUAAAUCACAAUAAUUAACAACUUAAGAAAAUUUAAAAGAUAUAAAAAUUUGACCAACUCUUGAAAUUAUAUUAGUGUCACUUAAAUAGAAAUAGAAGAAAAAUAUUAUAAGUCCCAAUAAUUUAAAAUUUAAAUUAUUUUUAAAAUAUAAUUGACGAUCAAUUGUUGUUGUUGUUGACUAUCAAUGCCAUAAAGUUUGAACAAGAAAAUAACAUAUACUAUUUGAAAAUUACAUUAAAAAAAAUAUUAUAAAUUAUAAUAGUUAACAACUUAAAAUAUAUUUUGGUGUGCAUGGUGGUUUUGGUUUCGGAGAGAGGAAUGACGAGGGAGCUGCUCUGUUGGAUUUUGUGAGGUCUUUUGGGUUGGUAGUGGUGAAUUCGAGCUUUCCGAAGAAGGACGAUCACCUGAUUACCUUCCGAAGCGCGAUAGCCAAGACCCAAAUUAACUUUUUGCUGCUUAGGAAAGAGGUUAAGGUGUUGUGUAAGGACUAUAAAGUCAUUCCGAGUGAGAAUUUUUCAACUCAAAAUAGGCUUUUGGUAAUGGUGUCACGCCCCAAAUCCUAUUAAGGCGGACUGGCACCCGUUGCCGGUAAGGCUCGGGAGAACCAACCUGUAGCGAUACAUUACCUAUGAACAUUAUAAGUUACUUUCAUACUAAACAUGCCCUCAAAAGAUAAAUAGGACUAGCAAGCCAAAAGAUAUUAUAUGACUAGGCCGUUGGAGCCACAAUGUCUACGGUACGAUACAUGACCAUACUAUACUUUACGUAGUCUACAAAGCCUCUAGACAAGAAACGUUAUCUUAUAAGGGUCGGGACAGGCCCCGCCUCAUGAUAAGAUACUAUACAAUGCAAAAAAAUAUGAUAAGACUCGAAGCCCCGAAGCAACCUGGAGCUCAGUGACUGCGGUUGAUAUCCUGUACUCUUACUAGGG